rnacentral:rRNA from 1 species
UGAGGAAUAUUGGUCAAUGGGCGCAAGCCUGAACCAGCCAUCCCGCGUGAAGGAAGACGGCCCUAUGGGUUGUAAACUUCUUUUGUACAUGAAGAAAGGGACCUACGGGUAGGUUCGUGACGGUAAUGUACGAAUAAGCAUCGGCUAACUCCGUGCCAGCAGCCGCGGUAAUACGGAGGAUGCGAGCGUUAUCCGGAUUCAUUGGGUUUAAAGGGUACGUAGGUGGCCCGGUAAGUCAGUGGUGAAAACCUGCCGCUUAACGGUAGGCGUGCCAUUGAUACUGUCGGGCUUGAGUGCAGUUGAGGCAGGCGGAAUGUGUAGUGUAGCGGUGAAAUGCAUAGAUAUUACACAGAACUCCGAUUGCGAAGGCAGCUUGCUAAAGUGCAACUGACGCUGAUGUACGAAAGCGUGGGUAGCGAACA